UACGGAAGGGGCAAGCGUUGUUCGGAAUUAUUGGGCGUAAAGCGCGUGUAGGCGGCAGGCCAAGUCUGUGGUGAAAUCGCUCGGCUCAACUGGGCGGGGGUCCAUGGAAACUGGUCAGCUGGAGGACGGUAGAGGUGAGUGGAAUUCCCGGUGUAGUGGUGAAAUGCGUAGAGAUCGGGAGGAACACCCGUGGCGAAGGCGGCUCACUGGGCCGGUCCUGACGCUGAGACGCGAAGGCGUGGGGAGCGAACGGG
rnacentral:rRNA from 1 species